AGCAGCCGCGGUAAUUCCAGCUCCAAUAGCGUAUAUUAAAGUUGCUGCAGUUAAAAAGCUCGUAGUUGAAUUUCGGGGUUAGUAGGUUGGCCAUGCCUCUGGUAUGUACUGGUCUCACUGAUUCCUCCUUCCUGAUGAACCUUAAUGCCAUUAAUUUGGUGUUUUGGGGAAUUUGGACUGUUACUUUGAAAAAUUAGAGUGUUUAAAGCAAGCUAACGCUUGAAUACAUUAGCAUGGAAUAAUGAAAUAGGACGUUCGAUCCUAUUUUGUUGGUUUCUAGGAUUGACGUAAUGAUUAAUAGGGAUAGUUGGGGGCAUUAGUAUUCAAUUGCCAGAGGUGAAAUUCUUGGAUUUAUUGAAGACUAACUACUGCGAAAGCAUUUGCCAAGGAUGUUUUCAUUAAUCAAGAACGAAAGUUAGGGGAUCGAAGACGAUCAGAUACCGUCGUAGUCUUAACCAUAAACUAUGCCGACUAGGGAUCGGAUGAUGUUAAUUUUUAAUGACUCAUUCGGCGCCUUACG
rnacentral:rRNA from 1 species